rnacentral:rRNA from 1 species
GUGGCGGACGGGUGAGUAACGCGUGAGGAACCUGCCUUUCAGAGGGGGACAACAGUUGGAAACGACUGCUAAUACCGCAUAACAUAUAGAUGUCGCAUGGCAUUUAUAUCAAAGAUUUAUCGCUGAAAGAUGGCCUCGCGUCUGAUUAGCUAGUUGGUGAGGUAACGGCCCACCAAGGCGACGAUCAGUAGCCGGACUGAGAGGUUGAACGGCCACAUUGGGACUGAGAUACGGCCCAGACUCCUACGGGAGGCAGCAGUGGGGAAUAUUGGGCAAUGGGCGCAAGCCUGACCCAGCAACGCCGCGUGAAGGAAGAAGGCUUUCGGGUUGUAAACUUCUUUUGUCAGGGACGAGUAGAAGACGGUACCUGACGAAUAAGCCACGGCUAACUACGUGCCAGCAGCCGCGGUAAUACGUAGGUGGCAAGCGUUGUCCGGAUUUACUGGGUGUAAAGGGCGUGUAGCCGGGAGGGCAAGUCAGAUGUGAAAUCCACGGGCUCAACUCGUGAACUGCAUUUGAAACUACUCUUCUUGAGUAUCGGAGAGGCAAUCGGAAUUCCUAGUGUAGCGGUGAAAUGCGUAGAUAUUAGGAGGAACACCAGUGGCGAAGGCGGAUUGCUGGACGACAACUGACGGUGAGGCGCGAAAGCG